rnacentral:rRNA from 1 species
UAGGGAAUCUUCCGCAAUGGGCGAAAGCCUGACGGAGCAACGCCGCGUGAGUGAUGAAGGUCUUCGGAUCGUAAAACUCUGUUAUUAGGGAAGAACAAAUGUGUAAGUAACUAUGCACGUCUUGACGGUACCUAAUCAGAAAGCCACGGCUAACUACGUGCCAGCAGCCGCGGUAAUACGUAGGUGGCAAGCGUUAUCCGGAAUUAUUGGGCGUAAAGCGCGCGUAGGCGGUUUUUUAAGUCUGAUGUGAAAGCCCACGGCUCAACCGUGGAGGGUCAUUGGAAACUGGAAAACUUGAGUACAGAAGAGGAAAGUGGAAUUCCAUGUGUAGCGGUGAAAUGCGCAGAGAUAUGGAGGAACACCAGUGGCGAAGGCGACUUUCUGGUCUGUAACUGACGCUGAUGUGCGAAAGCGUGGGGAUCAAACAGG